UACUGAAUAAGCCUCAUAAAUUUGGCAUUAAGUUUUGGUUAGCAGUUGACGUCCAAACAAAAUAUAUUUUGGAUGAUUUCCCUUAUAUGGGGAAAGAUGAAACUCGAUGCUCAAGAGAAAAAAGGACAAGAUGACAUUGUUUUCCUCAAAUUUAUAUAAAUCAGAAAACUGCACACUUACUGUGUAUAAAAGUAAAUCUAAAGUAAAAGUCCUCCUUCUAAGCACCAAACAUACAGGUGUACGAAUAGAAGAUAAUUAUAAACGUGUUCCAGAAACCAUUGCUUUUUACAAUAAAACAAACGAUAAACGCGUGGAUACUAUAUAAAGAGUGUACCAGAUCGAAAAUAUCCAGAAAGGAAU
rnacentral:misc_RNA from 1 species